UACAGAGGGUGCGAGCGUUAAUCGGAAUUACUGGGCGUAAAGCGCGCGUAGGCGGCUUUGCAAGUCGGGUGUGAAAUCCCCAGGCUUAACCUGGGAACUGCAUUCGAGACUGCAUUGCUAGAGUAUGGGAGAGGGAAGUGGAAUUUCAGGUGUAGAGGUGAAAUUCGUAGAUAUUCGCAAGAACACCAGUGGCGAAGGCGGCUCACUGGCCCGGUACUGACGCUGAGGUGCGAAAGCGUGGGGAGCAAACAGG
rnacentral:rRNA from 1 species